AACGAACGCUGGCGGCACGUUUUAAGCAUGCAAGUCGAAUGGCGGUGGGGGCAACCCCAUGAGAAUGGCGAACGGGUGAGUAACACGUAGGUGAUCUGCCUGACGGAUGGGGAUAGCUUGUGGAAACACAGGGUAAUACCGAAUGAGCUGACGAGACUUUGGUUUUGUUAGUAAAGGUGCUACGGCACCGCCGACAGAGGAGCCUGCGGCUGAUUAGCUAGUUGGUGGGGUAAAGGCCUACCAAGGCGACGAUCAGUAGCCGGCCUGAGAGGGUGUACGGCCACACUGGAACUGAGACACGGUCCAGACUCCUACGGGAGGCAGCAGCUAAGAAUCUUCCGCAAUGGGCGAAAGCCUGACGGAGCGAUGCCGCGUGAUCGAUGAAGGUCGAGAGAUUGUAAAGAUCUUUUCUACAUGAGGAAUAAGUCUGGGAGGGAAUGCCUGGAUGAUGACGUUAGUGUAGGAAUAAGCCCCGGCUAAUUACGUGCCAGCAGCCGCGGUAA
rnacentral:rRNA from 1 species